rnacentral:rRNA from 1 species
AGUGAACGCUGGCGGCAGGCCUAACACAUGCAAGUCGAACGGCAGCACAGUAAGAGCUUGCUCUUACGGGUGGCGAGUGGCGGACGGGUGAGGAAUACAUCGGAAUCUACUUUUUCGUGGGGGAUAACGUAGGGAAACUUACGCUAAUACCGCAUACGAUCUACGGGUGAAAGCAGUGGAUCUUCGCACCUUGCGCGAUUGAAUUAGCCGAUGUCGGAUUAGCUAGUUGGCGGGGUAAAGGCCCACCAAGGCGACGAUCCGUAGCUGGUCUGAGAGGAUGAUCAGCCACACUGGAACUGAGACACGGUCCAGACUCCUACGGGAGGCAGCAGUGGGGAAUAUUGGGCAAUGGGCGCAAGCCUGAUCCAGCCAUACCGCGUGGGUGAAGAAGGCCUUCGGGUUGUAAAGCCCUUUUGUUGGGAAAGAAAAGCAGCAGGUUAAUACCCCGCUGUUCUGACGGUACCCAAAGAAUAAGCACCGGCUAACUUCGUG